GUAAUUUUACCAGACCAACUUAGACGGCAGUUCUGGGAUGCACCAGUGGAUUCUUGGUCCGGACGUGGAACCUGUUUUUUAAGUUCAAGAUGAGUUUAACCACAACCCAGGUGAGAUCGACAGGCAGCCAACAAAGGAUCGCUCAGCCCAUCCAAUCAAAAGACGUCAAAGCUAGACCAUGAGGAGGUCGAGGGAACUACUCCAAUAAAAGUUCAUGAAGGCCCUUGUCCAGUUUCCAGACUUGAGCCAGUUUUUGGACAGAACCUGUUGACUGAAGGAAAGGCAGAUUCUCCAGGACGAAGGAACUUGCAACACCAUGCAGGUAAAUAUGAUAAUAAUUCCUCGGAUAAUAAUUCCCCAAAGGGCCUCCAAUGGUACUCAGGUAACUGGAUGAAGUUACUCUGGUAACUGCACACCCAAAUAUUUCAAACAGAGUUGGCAGCAGAGUCUCAGAUGACCUGGAUACCGGGGGUCCCUCCCUGUUAGACAGCCUAGGUCCAACAUACAGAGUCCAUUGACUCCACGGACGCAUCCAGAGGUCGUUUCCCUGGAACAGACAUACUUGGUAGUUUG
rnacentral:lncRNA from 1 species